rnacentral:rRNA from 1 species
GUGUCAGCCGCCGCGGUAAAACGUAGGACACAAGCGUUAUCCGGAGUUACUGGGCGUAAAGGGCGUGCAGGCGGUUUCUUAAGUCAGGCGUGAAACCAUUCGGCUAAACCGGGUGUAGUCGUCUGAGACUGGGAGACUAGAGUGUGGUAGAGGCGUGUAGAAUUCCGGGUGUAGUGGUGAAAUGCGUAGAUAUCCGGAGGAAUACCAGUGGCGAAGGCGGCACGCUGGGCCAUAACUGACGCUAAGACGCGAAAGCAUGGGUAGCGAACGGGAUUAGAAACCCCUGUAGUCC